rnacentral:pre_miRNA from 1 species
GAUUUCAAAUGGAAAAGCCAUAAACAGCAAAGUUGCACAUCUUAUCAAUGUCUACAACUUUUAUUUUGGUCACUUCUUCAUCUGACAAAGUGAUAGUUAUAUUAUUCACAAAAAUCACAUUUCUCUCAUCUGGUUUAUAAACAUCAACACAGAUAUGUCAAUUUUGUAAACAUUGGUACUAUCACUUUGUCGGAUGAAGAAGUGACCAAAAUAAAAGUUGUAGAUCUUGAUAAGUUGUACAACUUUGAUGUUUAUGGCUUUACCAUUUGAAAUC